rnacentral:rRNA from 1 species
UACGGGGGGAGCAAGCGUUGUUCGGAUUUACUGGGCGUAAAGGGCGCGUAGGCGGCGCAACAAGUCACUUGUGAAAUCUCCGGGCUUAACCCGGAGCGGCCAAGUGAUACUGUCGUGCUAGAGUGCGGAAGGGGCUACUGGAAUUCUCGGUGUAGCGGUGAAAUGCGUAGAUAUCGAGAGGAACACCUGCGGCGAAGGCGGGUAGCUGGGCCGACACUGACGCUGAGGUGCGAAAGCGUGGGGAGCAAACAGG